GAUUUACUCCCUCCGUUCGAAAUUACUUGUCCCGAAAAUAGAUGUAUUUAGAACUAAAAUAUGUCUAGAUACAUCCAUUUCUGCGACAAGUAAUUCCGAACGGAGGGAGUAGUAA
rfam:Triticum aestivum genome assembly, contig: Triticum_aestivum_CS42_TGACv1_scaffold_577124_7BL